rnacentral:tRNA from 1 species
GGUGAGAUGGCUCAGUGGUUAAGAGCACUGACUGCUCUUCCAGAGGUCCUGAGUUCAAUUCCCAGUUCAAUUC